rnacentral:lncRNA from 1 species
CGGUCAUAAAGGGAUGACCUGCCCGUCGGUCUUAAAGGGAUGACCUGUCUGUCGGUCUUAAAGGGAUGACCUGUCUGUCGGUCUUAAAGGGAUGACCUGCCCGUCUGUCUUAAAGGGAUGACCUGUCUGUCGGUCUUAAAGGGAUGACCUGCCCGUCAGUCUUAAAGGGAUGACCUGUCUGUCGGUCUUAAAGGGAUGACCUGCCUGUCGGUCUUAAAGGGAUGACCUGUCUGUCGGUCUUAAAGGGAUGACCUGUCUGUCGGUCUUAAAGGGAUGACCUGCCCGUCGGUCUUAAAGGGAUGACCUGUCUGUCGGUCAUAAAGGGAUGACCUGCCUGUCGGUCUUAAAGGGAUGACCUGUCUGUCGGUCUUAAAGGGAUGACCUGCCCGUCAGUCUUAAAGGGAUGACCUAUCUAUCGGCCUUAAAGGGAUGGUGUCAGUGUUUUAUGUACCUUGCUGAUGCUAUGUAAUAGGGUUGUAUAGGGUUGUGCACAAUGAUAGUCUGUGUUUACUGUGAACUGUUGUCUGUUAUUUCAUGAUAAUGAUCUGUGCCACAAACCUCGUCAUUCACAGAGUAGAAUCUACAUGUUGGGUUAGAGUGUUUCCAUCUGACAGUACAUCAACAGGAAGGAAACAGAAUUCCCUGUUGUUCUAGAAUCCCUCAGAGCAGAAUCAGCAUCAUGUUCUAGAAUCCCUCAGAGCAGAAUCAUCAUGUUCUAGAAUCCCUCAGAGCAGAAUCAGCAUGUUGUUCUAGAAUCCCUCAGAGCAGAAUCAUCAUGUUGUUCUAGAAUCCCUCAGAGCAGAAUCAUCAUGUUGUUCUAGAAUCCCUCAGAGCAGAAUCAUCAUGUUGUUCUAGAAUCCCUCAGAGCAGAAUCAUCAUGUUCUAGAAUCCCUCAGAGCAGAAUCAUCAUGUUGUUCUAGAAUCCCUCAGAGCAGAAUCAUCAUGUUGUUCUAGAAUCCCUCAGAGCAGAAUCAUCAUGUUCUAGAAUCCCUCAGAGCAGAAUCAUCAUGUUGUUCUAGAAUCCCUCAGAGCAGAAUCAUCAUGUUGUUCUAGAAUCCCUCAGAGCAGAAUCAUCAUGUUGUUCUAGAAU